ACGGUUCACGUUAUUGUGAUUAAUAGGGAAUCGGGUGAGAAUCCCGUACAGUCCCGCUGCUGUAAUCCUCAUUUAAGAGGUCUGUUUCAUGAAUGCCACUGCAUGUUGUUGGGAAGGCGAGACAGACUGAGGAAAGUCAGAAGACCUGCCUUGUCGUG
rnacentral:ncRNA from 1 species